rnacentral:rRNA from 1 species
GACGAACGCUGGCGGCGUGCUUAACACAUGCAAGUCGAACGGUAAGGCCCUUCGGGGUACACGAGUGGCGAACGGGUGAGUAACACGUGGGUGAUCUGCCCUGCACUUCGGGAUAAGCCUGGGAAACUGGGUCUAAUACCGGAUAGGACCACUGCCUGCAUGGGUGGUGGUGGAAAGCUUUUGCGGUGUGGGAUGGGCCCGCGGCCUAUCAGCUUGUUGGUGGGGUGAUGGCCUACCAAGGCGACGACGGGUAGCCGGCCUGAGAGGGUUACCGGCCACACUGGGACUGGGAUCCGGCCCAGACUCCUACGGGAGGCAGCAGUGGGGAAUAUUGCACAAUGGGCGCAAGCCUGAUGCAGCGACGCCGCGUGAGGGAUGACGGCCUUCGGGUUGUAAACCUCUUUCAGCACCGACGAAGCGCAAGUGACGGUAGGUGCAGAAGAAGGACCGGCCAACUACGUGCCAGCCGCCGCAGUAA